ensembl:lncRNA
CUCCAGCGCAAGGAUUUUUUUUACUCCUCCUUCGUAUUAAAGUCGCCAUUUUGCUUCACUGCCUAUAAAAGCUUCUUCUAUUUUAUUAUUUUCUUUAAGGAGUCGACGUCGUUUCUAUCCUCUCUGUCGCUUGCUUUUUGACAUUUGUGGAGUUCGUUUUUAACGAGAGGGUUGAGGUUAAAGAGCGGGGGCUACGAGCGUGGCUACCGACCGUGACGGCUGUCCGUCCGCAACGAACCCGGCACACGGGACGGCGGCAGGUGUGAUUGCCAUGUAACAUCAAAAGGCACCGAGCGAAGACUAGGCUACAGCCUGACCCCACGUGGGUGACCCGGGUCACCCGGCCACUCUUGUUGGGUGGUUCCAGCUUUCCAGGCAUGGAGACCUCCAGUGGUGCGCGACUAGGGAAGCCCCCCCCAGGGGUGGCCAAGGGCCGGCCUCCCAAGCAGGCCCACCCCCCUGAGACGGCCCGCACGGGCAGCUCGGAAAACGACAAUCACGGUGAAUAUACAACCGCCAGCCUCACACGCACACACACACACACACACACACACGUUAAACACUCACACGAUACACAAAUGCACUCACACACACAAACCCCAAAAACAUACACAUACAGCGCCCACCCCACACCCAAACAUACAUACAGACACACACACACACACACACACACACACACACACACAUUCCCUACUCUGCCUGGCAAGUGUGUACCUUAUCGGCCGAGGCCUCGCCGUAGGCAGUGGAGUGGCAUGGAUUAGAUGAGACUAAAGUGCCGCAGCGAAUGACACCCUUGUCUACAGGAGGGGCUUUGAUGUGGCGGCGCUCUGGUUGCCGUGCGCCGCGGAACUGUACAAUCUCUGGACACGCGUGACACGCCGUUUCUACAUCUGAGAACCUGUGGAGAAGCAGGGGGGGGGGGGGGGGCGUUCUGAACACUACAUCACCCAUGUGGAGGCAAAUUGUCUGUGAAUUAAGCCUAUAGGGGCC